GGGUCAGUAGGUUGGUCGUGCCACCGGUACGUACUGGUCUCACUGAUCCCUCCUUCCUGAAGAACCGUAAUGCCAUGAAUUUGGUGUUGCGGGGAAACAGGACUGUUACUUUGAAAAAAUUAGAGUGUUUAAAGCAAGCUAACGCUUGAAUACAUUAGCAUGGAAUAAUGAAAUAGGACGAUCGAUCCUAUUUUGUUGGUUUCUAGGAUUGACGUA
rnacentral:rRNA from 1 species